rnacentral:tRNA from 1 species
GGAGGGGUUCCCGAGCGGCCAAAGGGAACAGACUGUAAAUCUGUCGGCGAAUGCCUUCCGUGGUUCAAAUCCACGUCCCACCACCA